rnacentral:rRNA from 1 species
AACCUGCCCACUGAAAUUUUUAAAUGGCCGCAGUAUCCUAACUGUGCAAAGGUAGCAUAAUCAUUAGUCUUUUAAUUGAAGGCUGGUAUGAAUGGUUGGACGAGAUAUUAACUGUUUCAUAUAAAUUUAUAAUAGAAUUUUAUUUUUUAGUCAAAAAGCUAAAAUUUAUUUAAAAGACGAGAAGACCCUAUAAAUCUUUAUAUUUAAAAUAUUAUAUUUUUUUAGAAUUAUUUUAAUAUAAUAUUUAAUAAUAUUUUAUUGGGGUGAUAUUAAAAUUUAAUAAACUUUUAAUUAUUUAAAUCAUUAAUUUAUGAAUAAUUGAUCCGUUAUUAACGAUUAAAAAUUUAAGUUACUUUAGGGAUAACAGCGUAAUUUUUUUGGAGAGUUCAUAUCGUUAAAAAAGAUUGCGACCUCGAUGUUGGAUUAAGAAAUAUGUUUAGGUGUAGCAGCUUAAAUAAUAAGUCUGUUCGACUUUUAAAUUCUUACAUGAUCUGAGUUCAAACCGGCGUAAGCCAGGUUGGUUUCUAUCUUUAAAAA